GCGGCUUGUGACAUCACUAGCUGCUAGGAGGUAGCAAGUCUCAGGCUGCUAGUCCAUGUGGCAGCCAUCUUAAGGCAAAGGAAAUCUAACACUCAAGCUAUAUAUUUAAUUAAAAUUUCUAUCACUUUGCUUGGUAUAUUAGCAAGGAUACAAUGGCUACAUAGCUGAUUGUGGAGCUUACCUACCCAAGAGGAUUCUAGAUUUGAAAACUACUUUAGUCACCAUAAACCAGGGAAUUUUGUGUCAAAUGAAGGAAAGAGGGAGAUCAAACCUGAGUGGCACUGGGUGAUUCUCCUUGGGGUGUCCGUUCCCGGACAGUGUCUCAGAGGAAGCUCGACAGCCACAACAGCAAGCACAGAUGAUGGCGGGGACUGCACAGAGGCAGGGGGAGACUUUAAAGCAGACUCUUGGCUCCUGGAUGAAACACAGCAGGUCUCCUGGGCAGCCUGGUGUGCUGUAUUAGGGCUUUUAUUGAACCACUGA
rnacentral:lncRNA from 1 species